rnacentral:rRNA from 1 species
UUGCCCUAGUAACGGCGAGUGAAGCGGCAACAGCUCAAAUUUGAAAUCUGGCUCUUUCAGGGUCCGAGUUGUAAUUUGCAGAGGGCGCUUUGGCUUUGGCAGCGGUCCAAGUUCUUUGGAACAGGACGUCACAGAGGGUGAGAAUCCCGUACGUGGUCGCUAGCCUUUGCCGUGUAAAGCCCCUUCGACGAGUCGAGUUGUUUGGGAAUGCAGCUCUAAAUGGGAGGUAAAUUUCUUCUAAAGCUAAAUACUGGCCAGAGACCGAUAGCGCACAAGUAGAGUGAUCGAAAGAUGAAAAGCACUUUGGAAAGAGAGUCAAAUAGCACGUGAAAUUGUUGAAAGGGAAGCGCUUGCAGCCAGACUUGCCUGUAGUUGCUUAUCCGGACUUUUGUCCGGUGCACUCUUCUGCGGGCAGGCCAGCAUCAGUUUGGGCGGUUGGAGAAAGGUCUCUAUCACGUACCUCUCUUCGGGGAGGCCUUAUAGGGGAGACGUCACGCAACCAGCCUGGACUGAGGUCCGCGCAUCUGCUAGGAUGCUGGCGUAAUGGCUGUAAGCGGCCCGUCUUGAAACACGGACCAAGGAGUCUAACAUCUAUGCGAGUGUUUGGGUGUCAAGCCCAGACGCGUAAUGAAAGUGAACGGAGGUGGGAACCUUUUAGGUGCACCAUCGACCGAUCCUGAUGUCUUCGGAUGGAUUUGAGUAAGAGCAUGGCUGUUGGGACCCGAAAGAUGGUGAACUAUGCUUGAAUAGGGUGAAGCCAGAGGAAACUCUGGUGGAGGCUCGCAGCGGUUCUGACGUGCAAAUCGAUCGUCAAAUUU